UGUGAAUUCGACAGGCGCUUUCUCGGUGAAACUCUUGAUCACAAAAAACACAUUUAAAAUGUUUUUCCCCAGUAUGAAUUCUCAUGUGUUCAUUAUAGUUGCCUUUCUGACCAAAUUCCUUAUCACAUACAUCACAUUUGUAAGGUUUUUCGCUAGUAUGUGUUCUCAUGUGAAUUUGAUAAUUAUUUUUUUGGCAAAAUUCCUUUCCACAAAUAUCACAUUUGUAAGGUUUUCCACCAGUAUGGAUUUUCUUGUGUAUAUUAUAAUUGCCUUUAUGACCAAAUACUUUUCCACAUUUAUCACAUUUGUAAGGUGUUUCGCCAGUAUGUUUUCUCAUGUGAACUUUACAGUUACUGUUUUGGACAAAUCCUUUUCCACAAAUAUCACAUUUGUAAGGUUUUUCGCCAGUAUGGAUUUUCUUGUGUAUAUUAUAAUUGCCUUUGCUACUAAAUUCUUUA
rnacentral:lncRNA from 1 species